rnacentral:lncRNA from 1 species
AUUAGAUUGGCUUGGAGCUUGACAGUGUUGAACGGAAGUAAUUAAGACUUCAAGAUCUGUUUCAACGAUUUCCAUUGCUAAUUAGACUAUGGGAAAAUGCUUCAAAAUACAAGAUGGAGAAGACCCAGAAAGGAUUAGAAUCCUCUCGAUGUGCUAUUUAAAAGUUCCAUAUGUAAUCCAUGGCACAGAAUCCAUGUGCAGUCCACAAGAGCAGAGGAAGCUGAGAUGCCUCGGACACCGGUCAUCAAAAGGAAGUGGAAACUGGUCAAGAAUUCUCACCUUCUACCUUAAGGAAGGAAUUUACAGAUUCUCUUGGGUGUAUAUCAAUCACCUGCUUCAGCACUUUUAUAACUAUUGUUAAAUAAAGUAUCGCUUGAAUUCAAGCAUUGUAAUAUAAUAAUUUGCUGGAUAGAUAAUUAAAAGCUAAUAGACUUGAAGCAUAUAUAUUGUGGAUCCAUUGAACAACAUGAAGAUUCCUGUACUUGGAAGGCUGAAGACAGAAAACUACAAAAUUUUAUCCUCUGACCUUGAUUAUGCAUAAUUUAAACAUUAUGAAUUGUUUAUUUGGGGAUGUUUUUUAUUUAAUAUUUUUGAAGUUUUGUUGACCAUGUGAGCAUAGGAAAUAAAGUCAUGGAUGAAGAAAUGGAUCAUUACACAUUUAUAAUCAGAGCUUGAUGGUUUGGGUCCCUGAUGGAGCAAGAGUAGACUAUAUACCAGCAAACCUGUGGAAGAGGCUGGUAGAGAAACUUCUUGCAGCACAUGCCCAAAAUGAGGCACUUUCUGUCUCUUUGUGAUGUUUGAGGUGGCUGACACAGAUAUAACCUUGGCAACUAUAUAGAUAAAAAGUUCUUUGUGGAUACCAGUGUCCUUUCUCAGUCACCUCACUUGCCUUAUCACCAUGUAGAUUCUGCCUGUGGUCUAUUGAGGAUACAGGGUCUGUACUGUUCUUUGCUGCUAUUGGAACCUCUUAGAACUCUUCUGGACAUAUAGGUAUUCAACAAGUAUUUGGGGGGAAAUAACUUAUGCAAAUACUGCUUGCUUGUCUGAUUUUUUUUUCUUAGCGUAAAUUUCUGAAAUUAUACAAGUUACUGAAUUACUUUAAAGUAUAAAAUUCACUUUGAUACAUUAAUUUGAAUGUGUUAUGUGCCCAGGUCUGGUGUUCAGGAUAAUAUCUGGACAUCUAGGCAACUGAACAGUCAACAUCCCCGUUUUUGGUCUGUAUUCUAGGCUGGCAGGGAAGUGUUAGUACAUGUUUACUAGGGUUCCAAAACCUAAAAGGCCUGUUACUUCUAAAACACGUCCUUGUGUUCUGAUUUGUG